ACCUUCCUCCCCAAAUGUGAACUUUAUUCACACUCUGUUUUUAUUUCUUCCUUAGAUUCAAAGCGUCUGGAGAAGAUAGCCUGGAGCAGCCUUCAGAAAUCAGGACUGUGCCCUGGAGAAUUAGUGAUGGACUCAAAUGCAUUUAAAUGUUGACUGUAUAAACUCAGGAAGCAAAAAGGAGUGAGGAGGAACCCAUGUGCUUUGAUCUUCCUUUCCAACCUCUUCCUCAGGCAUGGGAGCUCUCCUAAUGAAGGGCUGCCUCCAAGGGAUGCUGGAUACUGCUAGGAAAGCCUGUCUGGGAAGAGAACCUGGGAAGAACUCAUAUGUGUGGCCUUUCCAUUGCAUGUCCAGGAAACAAGAAGUGAGCAGGAGGUUUGCUUGAAGGAUGUUGGGUCACAAAGUACUACAGAGCCAUGGCAAAUUGUCCAUUUGAGGUGUGUUUGAAAACAUUGUACAGAAUCAUGUUAUUCCCCAGCUACAGUCAGUGUUCAAAGCAUUGAUCCUUUAUGUCCAGUGGGACAUAAGUGUAUAUGUGUGUUUUAUAUUAAAUAUUUGUAUCAAACUUAUGGAGGGUAUCCAAGCACACUGGUUCCAAAAUGGCCAGAAGAGCCUCACUCCAAUUCUGCAGCACAAAAUAAAUCUCUUGAGUGUGCCUGUCCUGAGAAAGGG
rnacentral:lncRNA from 1 species